rnacentral:rRNA from 1 species
AUUGAACGCUGGCGGCAUGCCUUACACAUGCAAGUCGAACGGUAACAGGUCUUCGGAUGCUGACGAGUGGCGAACGGGUGAGUAAUACAUCGGAACGUGCCUAGUAGUGGGGGAUAACUACUCGAAAGAGUGGCUAAUACCGCAUGAGAUCUACGGAUGAAAGCAGGGGAUCGCAAGACCUUGUGCUACUAGAGCGGCCGAUGGCAGAUUAGGUAGUUGGUGGGAUAAAAGCUUACCAAGCCGACGAUCUGUAGCUGGUCUGAGAGGACGAUCAGCCACACUGGGACUGAGACACGGCCCAGACUCCUACGGGAGGCAGCAGUGGGGAAUUUUGGACAAUGGGCGAAAGCCUGAUCCAGCAAUGCCGCGUGCAGGAUGAAGGCCUUCGGGUUGUAAACUGCUUUUGUACGGAACGAAAAGCCCUGGGUUAAUACCCUGGGGUCAUGACGGUACCGUAAGAAUAAGCACCGGCUAACUACGUGCCAGCCGCCGCGGUAAUAC